rnacentral:lncRNA from 1 species
CGAGGAACACUUGCAUAUUUCCUGCUUCUGAAGAAAUGCACAUUCAGAAGCGGCUUUGUGCAAGAUUUGGUUACUGCACGCAUGGUUAAAAAAGGAAGUGACGAGGAAUACUUGCAGAUUUCCUGCUUCAGAAGAAAUACAGUCGGAGCCCGAGAAGAGAACAGGUGAUCAGACAUCGUAUGGAUGUGAUGGCCUAAAACUGCUUCAGACAUCACACUGGAUUAUAUGCCUUGACUUGGGAUGCUAUAAGUAGUAAUAGUGUGACUAAGUAGGAGGAAGCUGUGUGAUGACCUAAAACAGGAAACUGGUUUCUGACUCUUUCUGCAAACGGGGGCACUUCGAGUCUGUUGGAUACCUAGUAUACAGACCAAGCAAACCUGGGGUGCUCAGAAGCAGCCCCUGGACUGUGAAUGUGAAGAGCCCAUGGUUCCAAUCUUUCUAUCAUCCAGUAUCAGUACUUCUCAUUCUCGUUACACUGCGUAUCGUACGUAAUUCCAUGUAUACAUCACAACAGUUAAAAACAAAGAAGAGGCGAAGCACUUAUGAGUUAUGAUGAUCACUUACAUGAGAAGCACAAGGAUGCAUGAAUGGCCCCCUUGCUUCUGAAGGAAUGAGCUUGAUGGAGAGAAGAGUCUUCAGAUAGUAUGUAGGAGUAUGUGCGUGUAAUGUCCUAAAACAGACUUGAGAGACAUCACAACACACUGCAGCUGACAAGAGCAAAUGAGGUAUACAUGACUAGAUUUGGGGAUGCCCUAAAUAGAAGUGCUAUAACCUAAAACGGAAAAGGGGACUCUGAUCCUUUCUGCUAAUGGACACAGUUCGAUUCUACUUAUAAUUAUACUAGUGUUUACACAUUGGAUACUAGUGUUACAGGAGCAGCAAACCCGGGGUGCUCACAAGAAGGCUUGGGGCUGAAAAGGAGCCCAUGGUUUCAUUAAUUUCAUCGCCUUG